UGUUUCGGCUAGGGGGCCAUCCCGGCUUACCAACCCGAUGCAAACUGCGAAUACCGGAGAAUGUUAUCACGGGAGACACACGGCGGGUGCUAACGUCCGUCGUGAAGAGGGAAACAACCCAGACCGCCAGCUAAGGUCCCAAAGUCAUGGUUAAGUGGGAAACGAUGUGGGAAGGCCCAGACAGCCAGGAUGUUGGCUUAGAAGCAGCCAUCAUUUAAAGAAAGCGUAAUAGCUCACUGGUCGAGUCGGCCUGCGCGGAAGAUGUAACGGGGCUAAACCAUGCACCGAAGCUGCGGCAGCGACACUAUGUGUUGUUGGGUAGGGGAGCGUUCUGUAAGCCUGUGAAGGUGUGCUGUGAGGCAUGCUGGAGGUAUCAGAAGUGCGAAUGCUGACAUAAGUAACGAUAAAGCGGGUGAAAAGCCCGCUCGCCGGAAGACCAAGGGUUCCUGUCCAACGUUAAUCGGGGCAGGGUGAGUCGACCCCUAAGGCGAGGCCGAAAGGCGUAGUCGAUGGGAAACAGGUUAAUAUUCCUGUACUUGGUGUUACUGCGAAGGGGGGACGGAGAAGGCUAUGUCGGCCGGGCGACGGUUGUCCCGGUUUAAGCGUGUAGGCUGACUUUCCAGGCAAAUCCGGAAGGUUAAGGCUGAGGCGUGAUGACGAGGCACCACGGUGCUGAAGUGACAAAUGCCCUGCUUCCAGGAAAAGCCUCUAAGCAUCAGGUAACAUCAAAUCGUACCCCAAACCGACACAGGUGGUCAGGUAGAGAAUACCAAGGCGCUUGAGAGAACUCGGGUGAAGGAACUAGGCAAAAUGGUGCCGUAACUUCGGGAGAAGGCACGCUGACAUGUAGGUGAAGCCCCUGCGGGUGGAGCUGAAGUCAGUCGAAGAUACCAGCUGGCUGCAACUGUUUAUUAAAAACACAGCACUGUGCAAACACGAAAGUGGACGUAUACGGUGUGACGCCUGCCCGGUGCCGGAAGGUUAAUUGAUGGGGUUAUCGCAAGAGAAGCUCCUGAUCGAAGCCCCGGUAAACGGCGGCCGUAACUAUAACGGUCCUAAGGUAGCGAAAUUCCUUGUCGGGUAAGUUCCGACCUGCACGAAUGGCGUAAUGAUGGCCAGGCUGUCUCCACCCGAGACUCAGUGAAAUUGAACUCGCUGUGAAGAUGCAGUGUACCCGCGGCAAGACGGAAAGACCCCGUGAACCUUUACUACAGCUUGACACUGAACAUUGAGCCUUGAUGUGUAGGAUAGGUGGGAGGCUUUGAAGCGUG
rnacentral:rRNA from 1 species